UACGUAGGGUGCGAGCGUUGUCCGGAAUUAUUGGGCGUAAAGGGCUCGUAGGCGGUUUGUCACGUCAGGAGUGAAAACUCGGGGCUCAACCCCGAGCCUGCUUCUGAUACGGGCAGACUAGAGGUAUGCAGGGGAGAACGGAAUUCCUGGUGUAGCGGUGAAAUGCGCAGAUAUCAGGAGGAACACCGAUGGCGAAGGCAGGUCUCUGGGCCACUACUGACGCUGAGAAGCGAAAGCAUGGGGAGCGAACAGG
rnacentral:rRNA from 1 species